UGGGGAAUAUUGGACAAUGGGCGAAAGCCUGAUCCAGCAAUGCCGCGUGGGUGAAGAAGGUCUUCGGAUUGUAAAGCCCUUUCGACGGGGACGAUGAUGACGGUACCCGUAGAAGAAGCCCCGGCUAACUUCGUGCCAGCAGCCGCGGUAAUACGAAGGGGGCUAGCGUUGCUCGGAUUGACUGGGCGUAAAGGGCGCGUAGGCGGUUCGUACAGUCAGACGUGAAAUUCCUGGGCUCAACCUGGGGGCUGCGUUUGAUACGUGCGGACUUGAGUGCGGAAGAGGGUCGUGGAAUUCCCAGUGUAGAGGUGAAAUUCGUAGAUAUUGGGAAGAACACCGGUGGCGAAGGCGGCGACCUGGUCCGAUACUGACGCUGAGGCGCGAAAGCGUGGGGAGCAAACAGG
rnacentral:rRNA from 1 species